rnacentral:rRNA from 1 species
CGCUAGCGACAGGCUUAACACAUGCAAGUCGAGGGGCAGCACAGGUAGCAAUACCGGGUGGCGACCGGCGCACGGGUGAGUAACGCGUAUGCAACUUACCUAUCAGAGGGGGAUAACCCGGCGAAAGUCGGACUAAUACCGCAUGAAGCAGGGGCCCCGCAUGGGGAUAUUUGCUAAAGAUUCAUCGCUGAUAGAUAGGCAUGCGUUCCAUUAGGCAGUUGGCGGGGUAACGGCCCACCAAACCGACGAUGGAUAGGGGUUCUGAGAGGAAGGUCCCCCACAUUGGUACUGAGACACGGACCAAACUCCUACGGGAGGCAGCAGUGAGGAAUAUUGGUCAAUGGCCGAGAGGCUGAACCAGCCAAGUCGCGUGAGGGAUGAAGGUUCUAUGGAUCGUAAACCUCUUUUAUAAGGGAAUAAAGUGCGGGACGUGUCCCGUUUUGUAUGUACCUUAUGAAUAAGGAUCGGCUAACUCCGUGCCAGCAGCCGCGGUAAUACGGAGGAUCCGAGCGUUAUCCGGAUUUAUUGGGUUUAAAGGGUGCGUAGGCGGCCUUUUAAGUCAGCGGUGAAAGUCUGUGGCUCAACCAUAGAAUUGCCGUUGAAACUGGGGGGCUUGAGUAUGUUUGAGGCAGGCGGAAUGCGUGGUGUAGCGGUGAAAUGCAUAGAUAUCACGCAGAACCCCGAUUGCGAAGGCAGCCUGCCAAGCCAUUACUGACGCUGAUGCACGAAGGCGUGGGGAUCAAACAGGAUUAGAUACCCUGGUAGUCCACGCAGUAAACGAUGAUCACUAGCUGUUUGCGAUACACUGUAAGCGGCACAGCGAAAGCGUUAAGUGAUCCACCUGGGGAGUACGCCGGCAACGGUGAAACUCAAAGGAAUUGACGGGGGCCCGCACAAGCGGAGGAACAUGUGGUUUAAUUCGAUGAUACGCGAGGAACCUUACCCGGGUUUGAACGCAUUCGGACCGAGGUGGAAACACCUUUUCUAGCAAUAGCCGUUUGCGAGGUGCUGCAUGGUUGUCGUCAGCUCGUGCCGUGAGGUGUCGGCUUAAGUGCCAUAACGAGCGCAACCCUUGCCACUAGUUACUAACAGGUAAAGCUGAGGACUCUGGUGGGACUGCCAGCGUAAGCUGCGAGGAAGGCGGGGAUGACGUCAAAUCAGCACGGCCCUUACAUCCGGGGCGACACACGUGUUACAAUGGCGUGGACAAAGGGAAGCCACCUGGCGACAGGGAGCGAAUCCCCAAACCACGUCUCAGUUCGGAUCGGAGUCUGCAACCCGACUCCGUGAAGCUGGAUUCGCUAGUAAUCGCGCAUCAGCCAUGGCGCGGUGAAUACGUUCCCGGGCCUUGUACACACCGCCCGUCAAGCCAUGGGAGCCGGGGGUACAUGAAGUCCGUAACCGCGAGGAUCGGCCUAGGGUAAAACCG